AACGAACGCUGGCGGCAUGCCUAACACAUGCAAGUCGAACGAGACCUUCGGGUCUAGUGGCGCACGGGUGCGUAACGCGUGGGAACCUGCCCUUAGGUUCGGAAUAACUCCCCGAAAGGGGUGCUAAUACCGGAUAAUGUCUUCGGACCAAAGAUUUAUCGCCUUUGGAUGGGCCCGCGUUGGAUUAGCUAGUUGGUAGGGUAAAAGCCUACCAAGGCGACGAUCCAUAGCUGGUCUGAGAGGAUGAUCAGCCACACUGGGACUGAGACACGGCCCAGACUCCUACGGGAUGCAGCAGUGGGGAAUAUAGGACAAUGGGCGAAAGCCUGAUCCAGCAAGGCCGCGUGAGUGAUGAAGGCGUUAGGGUUGUAAAGCUCUUUUACCCGGGAUGAUAAUGACAGUACCGGGAGAAUAAGCACCGGCUAACUCCGUG
rnacentral:rRNA from 1 species